rnacentral:rRNA from 1 species
AGCGAACGUUUGCGGCGGGCCUAACACAUGCAAGUCGAACGCACUAGCAAUAGUGAGUGGCGCACGGGUGCGUAACACGUGGGUAAUCAACCCUUCAGCCUGGGAUAACGACUCGAAAGGGUCGCUAAUACCGGAUACGGCGCGAGAGGCUUCGGCUUCUCACGAGAAAGCCACGCAAGGGGCACUGAAGGACGAGCCUGCGGCCCAUCAGCUAGUUGGUGAGGUAAGAGCUCACCAAGGCUAAGACGGGUAGCUGGUCUGAGAGGAUGAUCAGCCACACUGGAACUGAGACACGGUCCAGACUCCUACGGGAGGCAGCAGUGGGGAAUAUUGCGCAAUGGGCGAAAGCCUGACGCAGCCACGCCGCGUGAGCGAUGAAGGCCUUCGGGUCGUAAAGACUCUGUGGGAGAGACGAAGAAGACCUGUGAAGAGCAGGCCUUGACGGUAUCU